CUAGAUGCACCCGAACGUGAUUUAGUCCGAACCGUAGUCCGACCGAGUUGUACCAAUCUCCGGAGGUUGGUCGAGCUCGGUUUCAAGAUGGCGGGCGUUAGUGGAAGCGGUGACGUAGUACUACAGUUCGAUUAUGAUGGACAGACUCACCAAAUAAGUGUGGAUGAGAACAUGGCCAAAUUGGUAAAUUCUCCUGACAUAGAUCCUAAGGAACAACAGGAUAUUUUGAGGCAAGUUGAAUGGUGUUGAAAGAAAGGAUACGGGUGAAUCUAAUUUCGACCAGUGAUGUGCACCUCAUUUCUGGAGUGUGGCAGAAGAAAAGUCCCUCGUAAAUCUGCAAUUAGCAAGGAAAAAAUUGUUCAUUAAAGGUGAAAAGAAUAAUAUCACACUUUGGAAAUCGAUUAGAG